rnacentral:rRNA from 1 species
UACGUAGGGUGCGAGCGUUAAUCGGAAUUACUGGGCGUAAAGCGUGCGCAGGCGGUUUUGUAAGCCAGAUGUGAAAGCCCCGGGCUUAACCUGGGAAUGGCAUUUGGGACUGCAAGGCUUGAGUGCGGUAGAGGAGACUGGAAUUCCUGGUGUAGCAGUGAAAUGCGUAGAUAUCAGGAGGAAUACCGAUGGCGAAGGCAGGUCUCUGGGCUGACACUGACGCUCAUGCACGAAAGCGUGGGGAGCAAACAGG